UUUAAUCAGUGCUUUGUGAUUUUUAAAACUAAGAUUUUAAUGGAAUAAGAUUAAUUUAAAUUGGAUCAGUUGGGGGGGAGAGGGUAUUAUAAUUGGAAUGUGAUCCAGUACAAGACCCGCUGCGUUUGAUAUCGAUCAUCUUAUUUAAGUACGGCGUUUUUGGGGGCUUGCAAAAAAUAUAUUGCAAAAAUGAUGACUUCACGCGUCGAAAUUCACAAUUCUUCAAUCUACUCGCUAAUUAUUCGUCUUCCUUACGUCAUUAUUAAUUGGUUGGGAGAUUAGCGGAAAAUCAAAAGCGUCGUUAAGAACUGAAGAUGAGUCUGGCAAUCCCUUAAAAUCGACCCAUUUUUAUAUUUAAUGGAUCUUGGCAGAUAUGGAUGGAACCCCUUCAAGAAAAUCAGUGCGUCCUUUACACGAAAAAUCGGUUUGUCGUCCGAAAAUAUUUCAACGAUUGGACAGCGUGGGAACUGAAUUUUAAGGCCAUCAUUAUUUUUUACACGUAUUUAUUCCAUUAAUGUGAUUAGCUAACGUUAAAAAAAAUUAGCCGUACUAAAAAUCAGUCAUAACUUUUAGUAUCGUUUCAAUUUUAAAUUCUUAAUUUUAGCCUGCACAAAAAUAUCUGCGGUCAAAUAAUCAAAAUGUAUACA